rnacentral:rRNA from 1 species
CAAUAGCGUAUAUUAAAGUUGUUGCAGUUAAAAAGCUCGUAGUUGAAUUUCGGGUCCCCGCGCUCGGCGCUUCAUUGUGCCGUCGUGGUGUCCCUCCUCGCCGUAAGGCGUCCUUUACUGUGAAAAAAUUAGAGUGUUCAAAGCAGGCAAUCGCUUGAAUACAUUAGCAUGGAAUAAUAAGAUAGGAUCUUGUCUAUUUUGUUGGUUGCGGACAACGAUAAUGAUUAAUAGGGAUAGUUGGGGGUGUCCGUAUUGAGCUGUCAGAGGUGAAAUUCUUGGAUUUGCUCAAGACGAACUAUUGCGAAAGCAUUCACCAAGGAUGUUUUCAUUAA